rnacentral:lncRNA from 1 species
GCGGGACUUUGAUUGGCUGAUCGCUACCCAGAAGAACCCGGAAGUGAGCGAGUUUGCGCGCCCAUCCAGCGACACUAAGGACCCCACGCCACUUCGAACAUGAUCUCGCUGGCCUAAGGGGACACUGGAAACUGGAAAGAGACCGGAAUCGUGGGCAGUUCUCAGGUUUGCCCGGCGAGCAUCCCUCGGUAUUUGAAAGCCGCCAUCCCAUCUCCAUGGCAACACAAGGACGGCCGGAAAAGACCCGGAUGCUGCCUGGUUGAGCGCUUCCGGCGCUGUGGGCUGGGGCCGGAAAUGAGAAUCUUUGAGUACACCUAAGUGGCCUUGGGCACUCUAAAGCCAGUGCAUCCUUUCUAGAAAGAGGUGGGAGAGAUGGCGAGACUCACACAGCCCCACUGCAGGCCCUGCUUGGCGUUUACACGCCCCCUCGUCUCCAUGACAGCAAUAGGACGCCGGCGAUGCAGGGCGCUGAUUGGCUGAGAUUAGGAGGCAUGGACCGGAAGUGGCCGGAGAUUGGCGUGGCUAGAGCCAGUCCCCUCCCCAUCUGCGCGCCGAUGCCUCUGAGCCUCCUCAGGAAACUUCUCGGUCUGGAGCCCGUUGGUCACUGCAGGCUCAGCGGACCGAGGUUAGGACGGAUCGGCCUCUCUAGUCAGAGCGUGCAGUGGUGAUCAGAUCCCACCGGGAAGGCAGCAUAAUCGCGUGGUCCCAGCCUUCAAGCUGCCUGCGCCGCACAUCUUGGUGGGUGGGACUUAAAGUCUUUCACGUCUGCCUGGUCCCAGAGCGUCACAGCUUUAGCUGUUUUGCUGUGUUUCCUUCUUAAACAGGGUUUCACGCUGUAGCCCAGGUUGGCCUCCAACUGGAGUCCUCCAACUUCCAUUCUGAUGUGAGAGCAGGCUGACAGUAUCUAUGGAAGGAAGAAAGCCCAACUCAGUUGACCAGAAUCGGGCUAGAGAUGGGGCUAAAGUUCCUUUUCUAGGUGGGGUGUGGCGGUGGGGAGAUAGGACCCUACGUUUCUUGUUUUGUUUUGUUUUUUCGAGACAGCGUUUCUCUGUGUAGCCAUGGCUGUCCUGGAACUCACUUUGUAGACCAGCCUGGCCUCGAACUCAGAAAUCCGCCUGCCUCUGCCUCCCAAGUGCUGGGAUUAAAGGCGUGCGCCACCACUGCCCGGCGGACCCCAAGUUUCUAAGGAUAAACCAAGGUAUAAUUCCACCACAGCUCAUGCGAGGGAACCAAUGAAUUUGUUAGGCUUACAUACAGAGCCCGGAUGAGGGCUUACAGACAGAAGCACUGCAAACCCAAAGCACUGGAAAAGUCUUCACCCAGUGUGGAAGAUGGCUUCCCCAUAGCCACAGGGGUGGCCCUCCCCUCCCACCCUCGCUUCUUCAGCCUGACUAUCUAGGACCUCUCCAAUACUCCCUGCUCCACAAGUAAUUAGGAGAAAAUAUAAAUGGCUGGGAGGAGCGGUCGGAAACCCAAGUAAAGAUCCAAAGACCCUCCUGUCCUCUCCUAGGACGGAAUGCCAAUAGUCAACUGGACCUGCUGUGACGAUCCUUGGCCUGCAACUCAGCAGUUGGAGAUGGCAUUUGUCUGACUUAGAAGGCCGUUGUGUUUGUGAGAGCAUCUUUCU